rnacentral:rRNA from 1 species
UACGUAGGGGGCAAGCGUUGUCCGGAAUUAUUGGGCGUAAAGGGCGCGUAGGCGGCUUUUCAAGUGACGGGUGAAAGCCCUCGGCUUAACCGAGGAACUGCCUGUCAGACUGGAAGGCUUGAGACCGGGAGAGGUGAGUGGAAUUCCCAGUGUAGCGGUGAAAUGCGUAGAUAUUGGGAGGAACACCAGUGGCGAAGGCGGCUCACUGGACCGGAACUGACGCUGAGGCGCGAAAGCGUGGGGAGCAAACAGG